rnacentral:ribozyme from 1 species
GCUCGACUAGGCGAGGAUAAAUAGACUGUUAAGCCUGGAGCGUUGCCCCUUUCGGGGGCAGGUAGUU